UACGGAGGGUGCGAGCGUUGUCCGGAAUCACUGGGCGUAAAGGGCGCGUAGGCGGCUUGGUAAGUCACGUGUGAAAACACGGUGCUCAACGCCGGGGCCGCAUGUGAGACUGUCAGGAUGGAGCUUGGUAGAGGUGAGUGGAAUUCCCGGUGUAGCGGUGGAAUGCGUAGAUAUCGGGAAGAACACCGGUGGCGAAGGCGGCUCGCUGCGCCAAUGCUGAAGCUGAGGCGCGAUAGCGUAGGGAGCACACAGG
rnacentral:rRNA from 1 species